rnacentral:rRNA from 1 species
UACAGAGGUCUCAAGCGUUGUUCGGAUUCAUUGGCGUAAAGGGUGCGUAGGUGGCGCCGUAAGUCAGGUGUGAAAUUUCGGAGCUUAGCUCCGAAACUGCAUUUGAUACUGCGGUGCUUGAGGACUGGAGAGGAGACUGGAAUUUACGGUGUAGCAGUGAAAUGCGUAGAUAUCGUAAGGAAGACCAGUGGCGAAGGCGGGUCUCUGGACAGUUCCUGACGCUGAGGCACGAAGGUCAGGGGAGCAAACGGG